UCAUAAAGAGAGUAAGACUUUGGUUUCAUUUACAUUCUGUGGAAUUAGUCUCAAAUUCACCACACAGCUUCUAUUGUUACGCUUUGCUCUGAUGAGGAGAAAAACUCUGCCUUUGUAAGAAAAGAAUGUAGGUUAAUUAUAUACAACUUUUUAGUAGGAAAUCACACCAAGACGCGUCACGAUAGGAGAAGUAGCCAGAACCUAAUAAAGCACCAUAAACCGCUUGGCAUUUCAUUCACAGACUGUUCAGUCUGGCUCCUCAUCUUCCUCCUGAGCUCAGAUCCUGAACGGCGGCUCCUUUAAUUGUUACAGCUCUCACAUUCACCGCGGCUACAGUUGGACCAUGCAGGCUCUGCUGGUACCGGGCUCUGCUGGUUCCAGUCUGUGCUGGUUCUGGGCUCUGCCGGUUCCUCUGCAGACAGUUCAGAGGUCGGAGGUCGGGUACAUCCAGGCCCCAGUGGAUCCACGAGGGAGUCAGUGUCUGGGAACCCUUCAGCCCUUCAGCUCGAUCGCAGCCACGAGAACGCAGGUGCUCUGGGACCGCGUUUGGAGAUUUAUUGCUUGUGGAUCGGUGUCGGCAUUCCAUGUGUGGACCAAUAGAGAGGCACGCGUCGUACCUGCUGGGUCGUUGGUGUGACACAGAGCGAACACCACGACCCCAACGCUUAAAUAAUUAGUGUGUUUAGGUCUCUUUGACAUCACGGUCCUGCUCGUUGCAUUGAACACGCAGUUGGUAACUAGUGUGGAGCCUGUGUUGAUGGUUCCUUAUGGGAAAACGUGUGGGCAUGAGAAAAAUAGAUCAAAACAGCCAUAAUAUGCAAAAAAACAAAUCCUUUGGUCUAUUUGUUAUUAAAGGAAAAACUUCAAAUCCCCUUUAUCCUGCCGGAGGCUGUGAAGUCAAGACACACAAGCAGAGGUUUUAAUUUUUCAUCAUAAAAUUCAACAGAAGAUAAAACAGCCACAGCGGCUGUUCCAGAGUAUUUCCUUAUUCAUUUGUCCUAAGCUGCAGGUCACAUCUUGGGACCGAGUCUGCCGCGGUCCCGGACUGAGCAGAACCGCUGCCGACUCCAGCCCUCGGGUCACGGUGCAUGUGAAGUGAAUCAGCGCGGGGGGGGGGCCGAGCCCGCUCAUAAAUUACACCGGCCCGGUUCUGCUCUCGUCUGGGCUCUGCUCUCGGGUCCGGCCCGGCCCGUCGAGGCUCCGCCGCCUCACACCCCGUCACAGGUGCUCCAGCGCCGCCGCCGCCGCAGAGUGGUUUCACACAUGGAGGAAGAGUCCAUUCCUCCCUCCUGCCAGAAUCCAAUCCGGCCGGAGGUCACGUCCCCUCGCGUGUUCACACAGGGAGUAUAAUAACGAAAGCCCACUUCCCUCCUGUUAUAUCCAUCCACUCCUCUCUCCUGUCACUGUUUGUACAAAUGGUAUCAACUAAUAACGUGCGCGUACAGUGUCAUUACUGUGAAAGCAGCAGGAAAUGUGUCAUGGGCCCCUUUUCCUGCCUCAUCAACGCGACUCCCUCCGCCCCCCGUCCACCUUCUGCCCAUUAAUCGGAAGGUCUAAAUUACAAGUAAUCACUACCAGGUUCUGUUUUACUGCCCAGACAAUCGGAAUUUACUCAUCCGUCUCCCUGUUUAAACUAUCUGCUGGAGAACGGCAAAGCCCGCUGCUUAUUUCCCAACGAUUAGCUGUACAUCAGCAUUACCACCUCAAAUCCAGCAGUUUCACAUCCAGCAUUAAAUAGGAUGAAUAUUGAUCUGCUAAAGAGGAUUUAUUUUUUUCAUGCUCUAUCCAAAGAUCAACUGCUACCAGCUUUGGACGGAUCUGUGAAGGUCUUACUGAAUAAAGCUACUGCAUACAUGACUUUGGACUUGACA
ensembl:lncRNA